GUUCUCUAUCUGCACUGCUGAGUAGGUAACCAUAAGCCACAGGGGCUAUUGAGUACUUAAAAUGUGUGGCUUGAGUGACUGAGAAAUUGAAUUUUAAAUUUUAUUUAAUUUUAAUUUAAACUUGAAUAGCUCCAUGUGACUAGUGGCUACUAUUGGACAACACCGUUCUAGAAAGAUCAUUUGGAGAAUGGAUUGAAGGUGAUUUGGAGGUAUGGGAGACUGAAGGGAGGAACACAGAAGGUACCCUCCCAGAUGAAAAGACGCCUACCACAGCAUGGCUUGCCAAGCGGUGUCAUGUCCGCACCCGGGAUCCAAACCAGAGAACCCCAGGCCACCGAGAAGUGGAUCAUGAGAACUUAACCGCUACGCCACCAGGCCGGCCCCGGAUCUGGGACUUUUUAAGACAUGGAAAAAUGUUUUUGUUAUAAUGUUGACUAAAAUAAGAAUAUGAUUUCAAUGACAAAAAAAAAGGAAAUAAACUGAAAAAUGUCAUUAUUUUCCCCAUGUAUACAGCAGAAAUUAUUUGAUCUCUAGACAUUAUGCAAUCAUGGUAGUUGGUGGUUAGGGUGAGAAUAAAUGCUUAUAUCUAUAUGUGUAUCGAAGGUACUCAUCCAUUUUAAAAACAUUUAUAAACAUUGGAGUGGAAAUAAAUCCCUAUUUAUAUGCGUAUGAGUGUCAUGUAUACUCAUUCCUUCCACAAAUAUUUAUAAAUGCCUACCAGAUGCCAG
rnacentral:lncRNA from 1 species